rnacentral:rRNA from 1 species
ACACAUGCAGUCGAGCGGAUGAAGUGAGCUUGCUCAUGGAUUCAGCGGCGGACGGGUGAGUAAUGCCUAGGAAUCUGCCUGGUAGUGGGGGACAACGUUUCGAAAGGAACGCUAAUACCGCAUACGUCCUACGGGAGAAAGCAGGGGACCUUCGGGCCUUGCGCUAUCAGAUGAGCCUAGGUCGGAUUAGCUAGUUGGUGAGGUAAUGGCUCACCAAGGCUACGAUCCGUAACUGGUCUGAGAGGAUGAUCAGUCACACUGGAACUGAGACACGGUCCAGACUCCUACGGGAGGCAGCAGUGGGGAAUAUUGGACAAUGGGCGAAAGCCUGAUCCAGCCAUGCCGCGUGUGUGAAGAAGGUCUUCGGAUUGUAAAGCACUUUAAGUUGGGAGGAAGGGUUGUAGAUUAAUACUCUGCAAUUUUGACGUUACCGACAGAAUAAGCACCGGCUAACUCUGUGCCAGCAGCCGCGGUAAUACAGAGGGUGCAAGCGUUAAUCGGAAUUACUGGGCGUAAAGCGCGCGUAGGUGGUUCGUUAAGUUGGAUGUGAAAUCCCCGGGCUCAACCUGGGAACUGCAUCCAAAACUGGCGAGCUAGAGUAUGGUAGAGGGUGGUGGAAUUUCCUGUGUAGCGGUGAAAUGCGUAGAUAUAGGAAGGAACACCAGUGGCGAAGGCGACCACCUGGACUGAUACUGACACUGAGGUGCGAAAGCGUGGGGAGCAAACAGGAUUAGAUACCCUGGUAGUCCACGCCGUAAACGAUGUCAACUAGCCGUUGGGAGCCUUGAGCUCUUAGUGGCGCAGCUAACGCAUUAAGUUGACCGCCUGGGGAUUACGGCCGCAAGGUUAAACUCAAAUGAUUUGACGGGGGCCCGCACAAGCGGGGAGCAUGUGGUUAAUUCGAAGCAACGCUAGAACCUUACCAGGCCUUGACAUCCAUUGAACUUUCAGAGAUGGUUUGGUGCCUUCGGGAACUUUGAGACCUGGUGCUGU